GGAACACAUUUUUUUCCAUGUAUGAAAUCUGAUCUUUUUGCCUUAUUGCACAGGAGUCUUAAUCUUUAAGGACCAUUUAUGUUUUUAAAAAGUAUUAUAUCAGUGCUGACUGUUCUGUGUCAAGUUUUCCUGGGAUAAAGUAUUCCUCAGACUUCUGCACAGCAACAAUCAAUACUAGAGAACGGUGGAACAAUGCCUAAAAUUCCUCAAGAAAAGAAAAUGUGGAUUCAAGGAAUGUAUUCACUGUGAAAUCAUCAUUCUCGUUAUAAAGACAACAGAUAUCUUUGAACAUUAAAAACUCCAGAGAAGGAUAAUAUAACACACCUAAGUGGUGGAUACUAGAACAUCGUUGUCUUUUAACCACAUGUGGCAAAUAGAAAAGAAUGAGAAUGUCAAAUUGUC